GCCUUUCUGGUGUAACGGUGGCGCACUCGGCUCGUGUUCGAGAGGUCUAGGUUCGGGUCCUGGUGAGGGCA
rnacentral:tRNA from 1 species